AUAGAAAUAAGUUAAAAAAACUGUGUGGUUCAUGCCCAAAUAAUGAAAAAAUAGUAAUUCUUUCUAUA
rnacentral:tRNA from 1 species